UUCCUCACCAGGCGACGGUAGGCGCAUCAUUUCCAGUGGAAAUUUUCCACUGAAAGACUCGCCGGAUGUUCAACUGCUCAUCUCAUUGUAUUUAUCAUUGUUUUUAUUCUACAAUUUGCUUCAUCGCGAUUCAGGAACGCCGUGUCUCUAUCCACCUAUAAAUCCUCAUUCCCUUGUUUCCGUUUCCUACUCUAAUAUUGCUCAUAAUAUUAAAGGCAGUGCAUUAAUAUUACAGGGAGGAGCAUAUUGCUCAACCUGCCGCUACACGGUUAACAGAGUUCAGUUAUGUCAUACUAUUUGAAUUAACUGCAGAUUAAGCUGCCCGUUGCUAGGCACCUUACAUGACGAUGUUCAAAAACAACUCUGUAUGGUGUUAUGGUGCCGUUGACGUGAAGGAUGACGACGGACUCUUCCGCCAUGGUCGGAUAGUUGAUAUGGACGUCUCCAAAGGUUUUAUCAUUGAUUUCGAUUAUCCCAACCACCAUGCUGAACUAAUCCCUUUUCACCGGUGUUUUGGAAAGAUUUCCCACGAUCUCUUCGCUGCGGGGAACAUGGUACAAUAUUUGUGGCGUGGUUCAGUCAACGAGGCCUAUCGGUGGUACCCGGCGAAAGUGAUUGCGGGUUCGUCUUACACUGUCCCUUUUAUCGAGACCCAACGGCACGGCGAAAUCGUAAAAGAAGUGGUGGGUUGCUCAUGGGUCAUGCCAUUAGGAGAACGACCCCCGGUGAAGCUGCAGCAUUAUAACCGCCACUGCUCAUCAGCCGGCUGGGUAGCUGCAGUCCUUGGACAGGCGCGCAGUCGUGAGGAUUUGCAGUGGUGGAAUCGGGAGAAAGGGAUUAGGAGCACAACCAUACUCGUCAAGCUGGAGAGAGGAAAACUGAUCUAUAUUAGAUACUAUGAUUGGGAAUACGGAUGGCGCUUUUGGGACUCGCUGCAACUAUUUCGAAUGAUGAAGGCUAAACGGAAAACAGUCAAGGAAAUGAAGAGUGGUAGAAAAUCCGAAAAAAGCGGACGCGGGAAGCUUUUCUUGUCCAAACCCUGCCUGGCAAGUGGCAACACUGUAUUUAAUUAAUGCCUGCAGGCAGAAAACGCUGCUUCGCAGGUGACCUUUCGUUCCGCGAUGUGAUCGGACGACGCCAUGGCGGAAUGUUAUACAAUACGUCCGCGGCAAUUUAAUUUACUUCAAGAACUGCACGAGUGAUUUGUCCAAAAUCUGGUAUAAACUGCUUGGUUCUACUAGGCUUUCAAAUCGUCAACGCUGUACCAUUACCAACCGAGUAUAAACAAGUCUCUACCAGCGGAAACCUUUCGACAGAUAUUCUCCUUUCUGGAAUUUCCGGACCAGCUGAAUUGCCGGAAAGUCUGCAGUUCGUGGCACAUCUUAUUGACCAGCGCUCCCACGUGUUUGCAGUUGGCAUUCAACGUGCAGAAAUACGGGAUAGAGGCACUAGCGUUUGCUUUUGAUAGGAAUAUCAGCCCAUCUACGAGACAAAUUAUAUUAUCGGGUAAAGGCAGGCCCUCUUACCGCUCUUUUAAUCCCACCGCCAUUCUUACUGACCUACUGAAAGCAAAAAGCAUCAGAGUUCAGACAGUCACUAUUUCGGAUUGGAACAUCUGGGCACCGGAUGUCUUCAGCUGGUCCAGCUCGUUAACGCUGCAAAUUCGAUCCGUUUGGCAGGAUAUAUGUGACAAACUAAUCCUGAAGAAUGUCCAGAUCAAAGGACUGAUGUUCGUGGACGGCGAGUCGUGCAAUUGUGUCCGGCAAGGUUGUGUUGGAUGUUAUCAGGACAGGUUUUGUGCACCAGGCUGGCCUGACUUGGAUGCCACGAUUAAAAUAGAUGAACACGUCAUCAUUACCAAUCACAACGGACCAAUGCAGGCUGUAAGGCAAUGGCUGGAGGAACACUGCCAACCGAUGAGCGUGGAGGGUCUCCGAAUGUUGCAAAGCCGAGUGGAUACGUAUUCUGUACCGAAAAAGGUCAUGUUACAGAUUUUCAAGCAAUGGCAAGCAGAGGAUGUACGUCUCACUGGCAACCUGAGCGAUCCGUUGGUUACUCUACCCAUCCAUACUUUACGAAAGAUUACCUUGUUCGCACUGCGAUGGUAUCUGGAAAGAAGUUGGGGAAGAUCUUGUAUACAUCUGCAGUGAAUAAAGGCACAGAAAACUGGUUUCAGGCUCGCGGCACAAACAGCUUUGGACAAUGAGCCCAUUGAUUUAUUUGCCUUUGGUUUGGCGCUGUCAGCGAAGCCAUGCUUCCUUGAUACUGCUUGUGUCUUACUGCAAGAAUAUGAAUUCUGUGCUGCAUCUUCUGUUAGCUAAUUCUCUAGAGGAUUAACUAAAUUUUUGUCAAGGUAGAAGGUACAUGGCAAUGAAAGUUGAAUUUUCCUGGGCACAUUUUCAUUGGAAAGACUAGCAAAAACCAUGGAAAACAUACCGCGGAACAUAUGACAGGCACAGCAGUUAGAUGAUACUCGUGUACUCGUAUACAUAUACUGUACGUGAGUACAGCGUAUCUGUGCGGCUGCCGUUUAACUGGGUGCUAGUUUAUCAACUGUG